rnacentral:rRNA from 1 species
UACUGCUAUCAGUGUUCGAUUAAGCCAUGCGAGUUAAAUGUUCUUCGUGAACAUGGCGUACUGCUCANUAACACGUGGAUAACCUGCCCUAAGGUCCGGCAUAACCCCGGGAAACUGGGGAUAAUACCGGAUAAACCAUAGAUACUGGAAUGUUCUGUGGUUCAAAGUUCCGGCGCCUUAGGAUGGAUCUGCGGCCUAUCAGGUAGUAGUGGGUGUAAAGUACCUACUAGCCGACGACGGGUACGGGUUGUGAGAGCAAGAGCCCGGAGAUGGAUUCUGAGACAUGAAUCCAGGCCCUACGGGGCGCAGCAGGCGCGAAAUCUUUACAAUGCGGGAAACCGCGAUAAGGGGACACUGAGUGCCAGCAUAUUAUGUUGGCUGUCCACCUGUAUAAAUCACAGGUGUUAGCAAGGGCCGGGCAAGACCGGUGCCAGCCGCCGCGGUAACACCGGCGGCCCGAGUGGUAGCCACUAUUAUUGGGUCUAAAGGGUCCGUAGCCGGUUUGAUCAGUCUUCCGGGAAAUCUGACAGCUCAACUGUUAGGCUUCCGGGAGAUACUGUCA